UGACAUUGGAACUGAAUUCUUUGUGUGUGUGU
rnacentral:piRNA from 1 species